AUACCUCUGCAGUGUUCGUUAUCGUUUGCACUUUUGACGAACCGAUGCGAGUACCCGCUGGGAGCCGAUUCUUGUAACCGUCUGGCGCUCGCAAGCCCACCCUGUAGUGGGAUCCGAAAACCGGGCGUGAGGCACCCCCGAUUCACUGCGGGUUCUCAAAAGCUUCCGAAACGGCACACGUGGAGGUUUU
rnacentral:other from 1 species